GCCUUGAUGGUGAAAUGGUAGACACGCGAGACUCAAAAUCUCGUGCUGAAGAGCUUGGAGGUUCGAGUCCUCUUCAAGGCA
rnacentral:tRNA from 1 species